GAUACCAGGGGCAAAAGGUCGGGAAUCUGACGCAAGCUUGCUUGCAGGAAGAUUUCUGAACUUGAGACCCGCCAAAAAACAUGAGUAAGUAGCCAUUUUUCGAAGAAAAAUGAGCGGAUUGCGAAUGUUUUUGUGGAUUGUGAGAGUACGAAGUACGGAACAAUCCGGU
rnacentral:sRNA from 1 species